CGGGUCAGUCGGUCAGGAUGAGUCGGGUCAGUUGGUCAUGAUUAGUCGGGUCAGCAGCCAUGUUGGCGGCUCCGUUACCGGUCAUGAUGAGUCGGGUCAGUCGGUCAUGAUGAGUCGGGUCAGUCGGUCAGGAUGAGUCGGGUCAGUCGGUCAGGAUGAGUCGGGUCAGGAUGAGUCGGGUCAGUCGGUCAUGAUGAGUUGGGUCAGCAGCCAUGUUGGCGGCUCCGUUACCGGUCAUGAUGAGUCGGGUCAGUCGGUCAUGAUGAGUCGGGUCAGUCGGUCAGGAUGAGUCGGGUCAGUCGGUCAUGAUGAGUCGGGUCAGUCGGUCAGGAUGAGUCGGGUCAGCAGCCAUGUUGGCGGCUCCGUUACCGGUCAGGAUGAGUCGGGUCAUGAUGAGUCGGGUCAGUCGGUCAGGAUGAGUCGGGUCAGUCGGUCAGGAUGAGUCGGGUCAGUCGGUCAGGAUGAG